rnacentral:lncRNA from 1 species
UCCAUUCUUGGUGAAGAUCUUACAAAUCCCUCUUCAACAGUUUUCAUUCCUUGGCUAACUUUUGUAAUGCAUCAUCUUUCAUCAUUAAAUCAUACCUCAACUAGCUGACCUGAUCCAUCAUUGUCACAUUUUUCUCCAUUUUCUUCCUUUUAAUCUUAAACUCUCGUUAAGCAAUCUCAAGUGUUGUUAAUACAGGCUCUGAUAUGGGAAUGGACAGCUUAUUUGAAACAUCUACUAGCAAGGGCCUAAUUUCAUUAACUUUUUCCAUUCUCCAUGAAAGGUACUCUUCUGUGACAUUAUUUGCAUAUUUGGCUAGCUUCAUUCGAUUAAUUUACUUCUAUGUCUUAAUGAUUUCUUGAACCUCUUUCAUAUAAUUAGGUGCCUCAUAGUCAAACUCAAGCAAAUUUAGUCCAUAAGUCAUAAGGAUGAAUUAAUGGGAAUCAUAUUACCUUUGGACCAUAAGAGAUGCAUUGCUGAUUACCCCCAAUAUUCCUAGCACUAGUACCUAUGACUUGUCUUCACAAUUAUAUAGUAUGGCUAUAGGAAGCAUUUACAAUGCUCUCCAUGUUAUGGCCUCACUAGUGAGCUUCAGAAAUAAUGCCAUCAAUUGUCCUUUCUUCCAAUCCCUUUGCUAUUCAUUAGUGAUGAAUUCCUUAAUCGGAAUGAAGUGAAUAGAUAAAAGCUAAAAUGAUACCUUUUUUACCCCAAAAAUGAUUUCGAAUCCAAAUAUAGAGCAGCUGAAUGCAUCUUAUGAAUCAUCCGUCACUCUUUCUUCAACAAAAGUUUAGCGAUCUGAUGAUCUCUGCUAAG